rnacentral:rRNA from 1 species
UCAUAUGUGGUCGGUCUUAGCCUAGGCCUCCUACGAUAUUAUUCGCGAGUCGGGCCAACACCUGCUAACAGUAGCAAAGACGAGCGCAAAACAAACAGCAACAACGGAUGGAACACGAAAAGACUCUAACUCUAACCCAGUGGUACUUCGAGUUAUCUCCAGCGGCGGCGUCGGCCCUAAGCUUCUUUAGUCGACCAUUACCACUCCGGUCCGAUUCGCUCGAAGGGUUGGUACACGACCAGUUGUAGGAGCUCUGCCACCUUUGUGUCAGCUGCUUUCGUCGAUGAUUACGCCUCCUGUCCGAUUCGCUCGACGGAUUACUAAACGACGAGUUGUAGGAGCUCUCUCAAUCAUGGGAACUACGACAUUCUUGGACGUAGGAAAGCUUCUUUUACGUCUUCGACGGUUGAUACGAGAGCGUCUAGCAUUAACUAGAAUCGGGAACACUAAACCAAGUUUACCUACCACAACACCGACUGCACUGCCUGUUCUAGGAAUCAUGCUCCAGAGGUGUCUAGUGGCAAGCGUUCGACUUCGAGUUUAAAAAGAACCAAGGGAGAGCGACAGAGAGGUAGCCUUUUAGCCAGCCGGAGCGGUACCGCUGAGUCUUCAACCUACGUCGACUCAAACUCUAGUACGGUGACUACCUAUUGUCUACAACGUGACUACGGGUAGCGGACGAGAAACCAGUCGUCAAGUUACUAAAACAAGCACUAACGGUCCUACGUAAACGACCAGAGUGCGCCGACCUAGAUGCUCCAAACCUCUUAGCCUGUAUGGGUUGUAAGAAUCGUGGACGUUCGUCGAGCUCAUGGACAGAAAGAAGCUCACACUGCCCCCCAAGACGAGCCACGACGUACAUCUUGUGCGAGCUGAGCAACUCGAACAAUAGUGGAAACCCCUUAAAUUUUGUCACCACGAACUGACAGAUGGUUUCGAGGUCGCCUACUGGAUGUUAGUAACCGGGACACUACUUUUAGGGAACCAAGAACCAAAACAGGGAGUCGAAACCUUCGAGUCAGAACGAUUACGUUUGGAAAGUCCGUUCUAGGAGUUGAAUUCGUUCGACGAACGAUUACGGGGGUGUCAUUCGCUAAACAUAGACCUGAAACAUUCGCUUUUCUAAACCCAAGUUGGUCUUACGGGGUUUCAGGAACGAGGACACGAACGGUUUGAGGCUAAAGACUUAGACCUAGUCGUGGGGCUUCUUACACUAUAGAGAACCUGUUACAAGCAAGAACUUCGACGUGGUGUGCAUCUCCUCGAGACGUAAUGUCAUACCCUGGUAUUCACGGCUUACCUCAGUGUUUUCUCAAACAGGCUUUAUAGCCUACACUUCACCCUCGGUAGACUAGGAGCAAAAUUCGUGUUCUUAGACCGCUCCGAUUAAUAGAUACCGAAGGUCAGGCUACUGUUAAAGUGCCCUAUGCAGCCCGCACAGUAAGUUCGACGCCACUUGUAGUCCCUCCAUAGGGACGUGCUGUCCUUCCCCACACUUAAAACACGACUCUUCAAAGGAGUGUACCUCCAAGCAGGAAGCUCAAUAGGUGCCUAGUGGCUCCUCCACCUUAACAACUCCUUCUUCUACUGUCGUCGCAGUCGCAGUUGAAGAGGACUAUAAGACAAGGCGAGUAUUCCAGCUCCACUUCUACUUAGAGUUACACCACGAAGAGGACUAUAAGACAAGGCGAGUCUUCCAGCUCAACUUCUAAUUAGAGCUACACCAACCUUCCUGAGGGGCUAGAGUUUCUUAUCAGUUACGAUAACAGGAAGACGUUUUUACAAAGAGCCGAUGGUUAAACAACCUUGUUGAGUAAAUCGAUAAAAGUUGCUACUUUACCGAUUUUAAUCGUAUAUAUACAACACCAGCAGGACAUACACGAAUACAACUUAAGUCAAUUAUAAGUCAUGAUACUUACUACGAGACAAUAAAAAAGAUAGAACAUGAUGAGGCA